rnacentral:rRNA from 1 species
UGGGGAAUAUUGGGCAAUGGGGGAAACCCUGACCCAGCAACGCCGCGUGAAGGAAGAAGGCCUUCGGGUUGUAAACUUCUUUUAGCAGGGACGAAGGACGUGACGGUACCUGCAGAAAAAGCAACGGCUAACUACGUG